UUUUUAGACCUUCCUGGAGGAGCUUGCUACCUAACCGAUAACCCACGAAAAACCUCACCAGCUUUCGAAAAUCCAGCAUGUAUACCAUCGUCGUCAGUCCACCUCUCAAGAGAAGUAUACUAAACGAAACAACUUCACAACGUCAGAUCGAGGUGCAGUCAAUAAGCUGGGGGUAAGUGAGCUACAAUAUUAACACAACACAAAACCAAUUAUGGAUAGUAUAGUGAAACUUAUACCUGAAACAGGAUUCAGCAGUAAUACCCAAAAGAAAAUGGGUAUGAAACAAUCAGCUCUAAAAUGCGC
rnacentral:rRNA from 1 species